rnacentral:rRNA from 1 species
CAGCCGCCGCGGGAAUACGAGAGGGGCGAGCGUUGUUCGGAAUUAUUGGGCGUAAAGGGUGCGUAGGCGGUUUGGUAAGUCUCAUGUGAAAUCUUCAGGCUCAACCUGAAGUCUGCAUGAGAAACUGCCGGGCUAGAGUAUGGCAGAGGGGGGUGGAAUUCCACGUGUAGCAGUGAAAUGCGUAGAGAUGUGGAGGAACACCGAUGGCGAAGGCAGCCCCCUGGGCCAAUACUGACGCUCAUGCACGAAAGCGUGGGGAGCAAACAGGAUUAGAUACCCGCGUAGUCCCUGUCUCUUAUAC